rnacentral:ncRNA from 2 species
GUUGAUCGGGGUCCGUAGUGUGCCACGCUGAGUGAUGGAGUGCGUAAGCCGGUGGAAAUCCGGCGCGGUCGCGCCACUGUGAGCCCGGGUUCUCGGACCCGGGCAAGCCAGACACCACGCCAUCACCUGCC